AGGGUGUUCAAGCCAGGCUGGACCUGACAUG
rnacentral:piRNA from 1 species